rnacentral:tRNA from 1 species
GGGCCCGUAGCUCAGUCAGGAUAGAGCGGCGGAGGACCCAGCUAGGUCCGUCGUGCCUCCUAAGCCGUAGGUCGUGGGUUCAAAUCCCACCGGGCCCG